GGCUUUGUUAGUUUUCGGUUAAAUCCAUACGCUCGACGUAUGGGCUGCCGGGAAUACUGCAAGGCUAGGGAGUGGGAGAGGUAGACGGUACUCGGUAGGAAGGGGUAAAAUCCUUUGAUCUAUUGAUGACCACCUGUGGCGAAGGCGGUCUACCAGAACACGUCCGACGGUGAGGGAUGAAAGCUGGGGGAGCAAACCGGAUUAGAUACCCGGGUAGUCCCAGCUGUAAACUAUGCAAACUCGGUGAUGCAUUGGCUUGAUGCCAAUGCAGUGCCGCAGGGAAGUCGUUAAGUUUGCCGCCUGGGAAGUACGUACGCAAGUAUGAAACUUAAAGGAAUUGGCGGGGGAGCACCACAAGGGGUGAAGCCUGCGGUUCAAUUGGAGUCAACGCCAGAAAUCUUACCCGGAGAGACAGCAGAAUGAAGGUCAAGCUGAAGACUUUACCAGACAAGCUGAGAGGUGGUGCAUGGCCGUCGCCAGCUCGUGCCGUGAGAUGUCCUGUUAAGUCAGGUAACGAGCGAGAUCCCUGCCUCUAGUUGCCACCAUUACUCUCAGGAGUAGUGGGGCGAAUUAGCGGGACCGCCGUAGUUAAUACGGAGGAAGGAAGGGGCCACGGCAGGUCAGUAUGCCCCGAAACUCUGGGGCCACACGCGGGCUGCAAUGGUAACGACAAUGUGUUCCGAAUCCGAAAGGAGGAGGUAAUCCAGAAACGUUACCACAGUUAUGACUGAGGGCUGCAACUCGCCCUCACGAAUAUGGAAUCCCUAGUAACUGCGUGUCAUUAUCGCGCGGUGAAUACGUCCCUGCUCCUUGCACACACCGCCCGU
rnacentral:rRNA from 1 species